rnacentral:tRNA from 1 species
CCGCCGGGCGCCGGGGCCGCCGGCAGCGCCUCGCCCGCGCUUCCGGCGGCGACGUCGGCGACCAUCCGCAGUCCGUGGCCGUGCCGGCGGUC